rnacentral:lncRNA from 1 species
GGCGUACUGGGGCGGUUCAGUCGCCUCAGCCGCGGUGUGAGGGAGCGGGAGUCUUCCUUAGCUUCUCCGCCAUGGGUGUCGCUUCGUAGCCGGGCUGCUCCGGGAAAGGCCUCGUACAGUUCACAGGGAGUGUGCAUAGGUUAAGGAGAAGACAUCUGCAUGAGUUUCAGUAAAGAGAUACAGUUGCGGUGGCUGGGCAACCUCGUAAACAUUCUGGGAAGGAAUGCAGAAUGCAAAACCCAGCUGAAAAAUCUAGAAGAAAUCAUGUCCCAGUUAAAGAAGAUAUUCCUCCUGAGUCCUUCAAGCUCUGCUACUUUGUAAGUAUAAGAACCAGCCGGGUGUGGUGGCUCAUGCUUGUAAUCCCAGCACUUUGUGAGGCUGGGGUGGGCGGAUCACUUGAGGCCAGGAGUUUGAGACCAGCCUGGCCAACAUGGUGAAACCCCAUCUCUACUAAAAAUACAAAAUAUUAGCUGGGCAUGGUGGUGGGCGCCUGUAGUCCCAGCUAUUUGGGAGGCUGAGGCAGAAGAAUUGCUUGAACCCAGGAGGCAGAGGUUGCAGUGAGCUGAGAUUGUGCCACUGCACUCUAGCCUGGGCGACAGAGUGAGAUUCUGUCUCAAGCAAAAAAAAAGUAAAACAACCAAUAAAAAUAUACUCAAAACAGAAUGAGAUGCAAAGAAAGCUUGCAGAGCUAAGGAAAUAGAGGAUAAAGCAUCACCCUUACAGAAUCAAAAAACUGGAAACAGCAAGGAACAGCUAGAAAAUGGCUCCAUAGUUCUGAAACCACUUGCUACACCAGUGGUUCUAAGUGCAGUCCCAGCACCAGCAGUGUCAGCACCACCUGAGAACUUGUUAGAAAUGAAGUGAAUUGGUGUGGGGAGUGGAACCGGCAAUCUGGCUUAAUCAGCCCUCCAGGUGGUCCCGAUGCCCACUAAAAUUUGAGACUAUGUUCUUCUCCCUCUCAGGCUGAAGAGUUGGGCAUAGCAAUGUUGUUCAGCUCCAGAUUCCAGAACUAGACACGUUUCUCCCAGGGAGAUUCUUAUGAACAUUCCUUUUCAAGAACAGAAAGAGGCCAGGCGUGGUGGCUCAUGCCUGUAAUCCCAGCACUUUGGGAGGCUGAGGCGGGUGGAUCACCUGAGGUCAGGAGUUCGAGACCAGCCUGACCAACAUAGAGAAACCCCAUCUCUACUAAAAAUACAAAAUUAGCCAGGUGUGGUGGCACAUGCCUGUAAUCCCAGCUGCUCAGGAGGCUGAGGCAGGAGAAUCAUUCAAACCUGGGAGGCGGAGGUUGCGGUGAGCCAAGAUCAUGCCAUUGCACUCCAGCCUGGGCAACAAGAGCGAAACUCCAUCUCAAAAAAAAAAAAAAGAGAGAGAGAGAGAGAAAAGAAAGAGAAAAAAAGGCCGGGUGCAGUGGCUCAUGCCUGAAAUCCCAGAACUUUGGGAGGCCAAGUUGGGCAGAUCACCUGAGGUCAGGAGUUCGAGACCAGCCUGGCCAACAUGGUGAAAUACCGUCUCUACUAAAAUUACAAAAAUUAGCCAGGCAUGAUGGCAGAUGCCUGGUAAUCCCAGCUACUCAGGAGGCUGAGGCAGGAGAACAGCUUGAACCCAGGUGGCAGAGGUUGCAGUGAGCUGAGAUCAUGCCACUGCACUCCAGCCUGGGCAACAAGAGCGAGACUCCGUCUCAAAAAAAAAAAGAACAGAAAUAAUCAAACCACAGCAUCAAUUCAUUCAUUCAUUCCACCAACAUUUAUUAAGCAGCAAGCUCCGAAGCAGACGUUUACCAGUUUUGCACAACUUUGUCAUGGACCAACUGGCCUUGUGGCUCAGUGGCAUCUGGAGGCAAGAGGGCCAAGUAGACAGGGGUCUCAGCCCCCUCCUCCACAGUCCUGAUGCUGUCUUUCCCAUCCAUGUCUGUCUUCACUGGUCCUGGGCAGCACGCAUUCACCAGAAUCCUGUCAGCUUUCCUCUUCUCAUCCAGACGCCUGGCCAGGAUCCUCGAUAAGACCGUGACCCCCAACUUGGACACCCCAUAAGCUUUGUUCUCAGAAACUUGGCGGCUACAAGGAAUUAAAUGUGAAUGGGAAAGGAAGAAAGAAAAACACAGAUCAUAGAAGCUGUGCCUUCGAGGAAAUAAAUCCUCUUAAGGGGAGGAGGUGUCCUCUUUGAUCUGAGGGCACACCUCUGGGAGAGAGGCCAGAGGCUGACAGUCAGCCUCGUCAGCCAGAUGCGUCAUCAGCCCUGGGAAGGGCUGCACCCACACCACCCUCCACUGAGGUCCAGGUGGCCCCACCGGUCCCGAAACACCUGCUGCCUUACUCUAGAAAGAGUAGGCAAGUUGCGCCCUCUAGUGGCUUAGUAGUUGCUUGUCCUAUUGACUCAGAACCUUGAACAAAUAAGCAAGUCAAAUACAGAUAGAUGGUCCCUGCCCUCUGAUGGUUCCACUUAGGACUUACUGACUUCACUGAUGGAUGAGGAAGCGAUAUGCAUUCUGCAGAAUCUGUACUUGGAGGCCCCAUACAACCAUUCUGCAUUUCACUUUCAGUACAGAUUCAAUAAAUUACAUAAGAUACUCAACAUUUUAUGAUAAAAUAGGCUUUGUGUUAGAUGACUUUGCCAGACUAUAGGCUAAUGUAAGCGUUCAAAGCACCUUGAAGCUAGACGAGGCUGACCUAUGGUGUUUGGUAGGUCAGAUGCGUUAAAUGCAUUUUUUUUUUUUUUUGAGACAAGGACUUGCUCUGUCGCCCAGGCUAGAGUACAGUGGCACAAUCAUAGCUCACUGCAGCCUCAACCUCCUGGGCCCAAGCGAUCCUCCCACCUCAGUCUCUCGAGAAGCUGGAACAUGCCACUAUGCCCAGCUAAUUUUUAAUUUUCAUUUUUUGUGUAGAGCUGGGGUCUCCAUAUGUUGCUCAGGA